UACAGAGGUCUCAAGCGUUGUUCGGAUUCAUUGGGCGUAAAGGGUGUGUAGGUGGCGCCGUAAGUGUGGUGUGAAAUCUCGGGGCUUAACUCCGAAACUGCAUUCCAUACUGCGGUGCUUGAGGACUGGAGAGGAGACUGGAAUUCAUGGUGUAGCAGUGAAAUGCGUAGAGAUCAUGAGGAAGACCAGUGGCGAAGGCGGGUCUCUGGACAGUUACUGACACUGAGACACGAAGGCCAGGGGAGCAAACGGG
rnacentral:rRNA from 1 species